rnacentral:rRNA from 1 species
UACGGAGGGUGCAAGCGUUGUCCGGAUUUAUUGGGUUUAAAGGGUGCGUAGGUGGCUUGUUAAGUCCGGGGUGAAAGCCCACAGCUCAACUGUGGAACUGCCCUGGAUACUGGCGAGCUUGAGUCCAGACGAGGUUGGCGGAAUGGAAGCUGUAGCGGUGAAAUGCAUAGAUAGCUUCCAGAACCCCGAUUGCGUAGGCAGCUGACUAGGCUGGUACUGACACUGAGGCACGAAAAGCGUGGGGGAGCGAACAGG